rnacentral:rRNA from 1 species
UACGUAGGGUGCGAGCGUUAAUCGGAAUUACUGGGCGUAAAGCGUGUGCAGGCGGUGAUGUAAGACAGGUGUGAAAUCCCCGGGCUUAACCUGGGAACUGCAUUUGUGACUGCAUUGCUGGAGUGCGGCAGAGGGGGAUGGAAUUCCGCGUGUAGCAGUGAAAUGCGUAGAUAUGCGGAGGAACACCGAUGGCGAAGGCAAUCCCCUGGGCCUGCACUGACGCUCAUGCACGAAAGCGUGGGGAGCAAACAGG